rnacentral:rRNA from 1 species
AUUGAACGCUGGCGGCAGGCCUAACACCUGCAAGUCUAACGAGUGGCGGACGGGUGAGUAAUGUCUGGGAACCUGCCUGAUGGAGGGGACUAACUACUGGAAACGGUAGCUAAUACCGCAUACCAUCGGAUGUUCCCAGAUGGGAUUAUCUAGUAGGUGGGGUAACGUCUAACCUAGGCGACGAUCCAUAGCUGGUCUGAGAGGAUGACCAGCCACAAUGGAACUGAGACACGGUCCAGACUCCUACGGGAGGCAGAAAUGGGGAAUAUUGCACAAUGGGCGCAAGCCUGAUGCAGCCAUGCCGCGUGUAUGAAGAAGGCCUUCGGGUUGUAAAGUACUUUCAGCGGGGAGGCGUUACCCGCAGAAGAAGCACCGGCUAACUCCGUGCCAGCCGCCGCGGUAAUAC